CUGACUACUAUAAACAAGACCGGAGCGCUGGAAAAAUUUCUUUUUACUGAAUCUAUCUUACAGUUGAGGAGACGAAAACGUCUCCAAGUUCACUUCAGAUCAAAGAAGAGAUGUUUAAAACAGAAAGAAGAACGUGCGGAAAUAAGGAAAGGAACAUUGUUGGUUCAGUUUCAACCCGAAUGUCUCCAAAACAGCAGCUAAAUCAACCACUGAUGCGUGAAGGGACCAUAAUCCAAGAACAGAGUUGUUGGGAAGAUUAAAUGAGACUCUCAACGAGAAAGCAUUCGACACUAGAAGAUUACAGAAUAAACUGAAGGAACCAUUGUUGCUUCA
rnacentral:lncRNA from 1 species